AGUGAAGAGGGAAGAGCCCAGCACCGAAGUCUGCGGCAGUUUUGCUGUUAGGCAAUGUGGUGUGUGGGUCGGCUAGCGGGAUCGUCACUCCACUCGAAGUCCAGCAUUGAGUAUGGUUAUCACUGGAUUUGGCCCAUAGAGGGUGAGAGGCCCGUGCGAGUGGAGGUUCAGAUGUGUGCGACGAUUCACCAGGCCGACCUCAGAGUCGGGUUGUUUGAGAUUGCAGCCCAAAGAGGGUGGUAAACUCCAUCCAAGGCUAAAUACUGGCACGAGUCCGAUAGCGAACAAGUACCGUGAGGGAAAGUUGAAAAGUACUCUGAAGAGAGAGUAAACAGUACGUGAAGCCGCAUGCAGGUAAACGGGUGGCGUCAAGCUGCGAGCCCGGAGGAUUCAGCUGAUUAGGAUGUAGUGUACGCGCGCCUGGUGCGUCGAGAGACCGGAAUAAGAUGUUUUGCGGUCUACUCCUCUAUUAAGGAGUGGGGCACUAUUGGUGUGCACGUGCUUGCAUGUGUGUACUGAUUGUUGCUAUACAUGCCGGGUGGUUACCGGAGUAUGCCGCUCAUCUGUUGGGUCACCUAGUCAGUGCAUUUUCUCCGUGGUGAACACCACGACCGGUGGAACUGCCAGUCUGCUGCUAUCAAGUCGUGUCCUUCUGACCUCUUCAUUUCUUCCUCUCUUAUGGCUACUUACUAUCCAUCUAUUAUCUCUCCUUUGUGGGUGGUAUAAGUGGAUGGUGAUGGUUGUUAUGAGGGAUGUGAGGGGUGGAUGUGUGUGUUGGGUGGAUACGAUCGCAGAUGGAGUUAGUGGACGGCGUAGUGGUGCAUUAGUACCGCCGCGUGUUAUCGUUUACUCUCCAUUGUAAGCGAUUAGUGGGGCUGACUGAGUACUGUGACUGCCUCUCCAUUAAUCGGCGGAUAGCAGCGGUGAAAAUGACUGUGCAGGGCACUGGAGUUAUCCACCUAAAUCAUUCCUUUAUCCAUUUGUUUGUGGAUUCAUUCAUUCAUUCAUUCAUUCAUGUGUGGAUGGAUGGAUGGAUGGAUGGAUUUGUGGAUGAGUGGGUUAAGUGGGUGAAUAUGGUACCCGACACGCAUGUUACAGGUGCUAUUUAAUGGGGACAUGCCGCUGCCUGUCUGGUAUUGGGCCUGACUGCCGUGUUGCCUACGUGUAAAGUAGGUCCGGCAGUGGUUGUAUAUACUUGGCAUUGGUAGUAUGUAGCGUGUCUCGGGUGUAUGUGGUACUAACUAUUGUGGGUGAAAUAGUCAGUGGUGCUGUGGUAGACUAGCCACCCGACCCGUCUUGAAACACGGACCAAGGAGUUUAACAUGUGUGUGAGUCAAAGGGUCCUACGAAACCCCGAGGCAUAAUGAAAGUGAAGUUCAUGCUGUACUCUUGUACGUGCGCAGUGCAGUAUGGCGAGGUGAGAUCUCCUUGUGCUCAUGACACACGCCGCAGCAUACCUUACUGGGCAAUAUUGGGGCAAGGAGCGCAUCACCGGCCCCUCGCAUGUUGUGGUCAUAGGUGUACUUGUAUGUGGAGAGGUGUGUGUAUUAUGUGUGUAUGUAUGUGUGUGUGUGUGUGUGUAUAUAUGUAUGUGUGUGUGCGUUUAUCGCACUACAUAUAAUAUAAUAUGCAUGCAGCAGCAGCAGCAUACAGCAUACACUUGGAAGCGUACAAUGCCUGUGCGUCAGCGCGGCGGAGCAUGAGCACCCAUGUUGAGACCCGAAAGAUGGUGAACUAUGCUUGCGUAGGUUGAAGCCAGAGGAAACUCUGGUGGAGGACCGUAGCGAUUCUGACGUGCAAAUCGAUCGUCAAACGUGAGUAUAGGG
rnacentral:rRNA from 1 species